rnacentral:rRNA from 1 species
UACGGAGGGUGCAAGCGUUAUCCGGAUUCACUGGGUUUAAAGGGUGCGUAGGUGGGUUUGUAAGUCAGUGGUGAAAUCUCCAAGCUUAACUUGGAAACUGCCGUUGAUACUAUAAAUCUUGAAUGUUGUGGAGGUGAGCGGAAUAUGUCAUGUAGCGGUGAAAUGCUUAGACAUGACAUAGAACACCAAUUGCGAAGGCAGCUCACUACACAAAGAUUGACACUGAGGCACGAAAGCGUGGGGAUCAAACAGG